UACGAAGGGUGCAAGCGUUGUUCGGAUUUACUGGGCGUAAAGGGUUCGUAGGCGGGAAUAUAAGUUGGGAGUGAAAUCCCUGGGCUCAACCCAGGACGUGCUUUCAAAACUAUAUUUCUUGAGUACUGGAGAGGGUGGUGGAAUUGCUAGUGUAGGAGUGACAUCCGUAGAGAUUAGCAGGAACAUCAGAGGCGAAAGCGACCACCUGGCCUGAAACUGACGCUGAGGAACGAAAGCGUGGGGAGCAAACAGG
rnacentral:rRNA from 1 species